UUAAUUGAAGAGUUUGAUCAUGGCUCAGAUUGAACGCUGGCGGCAGGCCUAACACAUGCAAGUCGAGCGGUAACAGAGAGUAGCUUGCUACUUUGCUGACGAGCGGCGGACGGGUGAGUAAUGCUUGGGAACAUGCCUUGAGGUGGGGGACAACAGUUGGAAACGACUGCUAAUACCGCAUAAUGUCUACGGACCAAAGGGGG
rnacentral:rRNA from 12 species